CGGGUGAGUAAUGCGUGACCAACCUCGCCCCAUGCUCCAGAAUAGCUCUUGGGAACGGGUGGUAAUGCUGGAUGCUCCAACUUGACGCAUGUCUUGUUGGGAAAGUGUUUAGUGGCAUGGGAUGGGGUCGCGUCCUAUCAGCUUGUAGGCGGGGUAAUGGCCCACCUAGGCUUCGACGGGUAGCCGGCCUGAGAGGGCGGACGGCCACAUUGGGACUGAGAUACGGCCCAGACUCCUACGGGAGGCAGCAGUA
rnacentral:rRNA from 1 species